GACGUACGCUGGCGGCGUGCUUAACACAUGCAAGUCGAACGGAAAGGCCCUGCUUUUGUGGGGUGCUCGAGUGGCGAACGGGUGAGUAACACGUGAGUAACCUGCCCUUGACUUUGGGAUAACUUCAGGAAACUGGGGCUAAUACCGGAUAGGAGCUCCUGCUGCAUGGUGGGGGUUGGAAAGUUUCGGCGGUUGGGGAUGGACUCGCGGCUUAUCAGCUUGUUGGUGGGGUAGUGGCUUACCAAGGCUUUGACGGGUAGCCGGCCUGAGAGGGUGACCGGCCACAUUGGGACUGAGAUACGGCCCAGACUCCUACGGGAGGCAGCAGUGGGGAAUAUUGCACAAUGGGCGGAAGCCUGAUGCAGCAACGCCGCGUGCGGGAUGACGGCCUUCGGGUUGUAAACCGCUUUCGCCUGUGACGAAGCGUGAGUGACGGUAAUGGGUAAAGAAGCACCGGCUAACUACGUG
rnacentral:rRNA from 1 species